GUUAAACUCGAUCUACCGUACUGUCAACUCGAUCCUACAUGUAUACGUAUACCUAUGAAUCUUUUAUUUUCUUAUCGCUGUCAAUCUGUCAUUCUCAUUCAUUUAAAUUUCGUGCGAUGAUCGCGACUGUCACCGAGGGAACCUCCUUCAGGGAUUUCACCAAGGAAAAAGAAUGGUCAUGAUUGCAUCGGAUGGACCAGUUCCCCAGGCGUCCGUAACAAGAUAUUGGA